UACGGAAGGUGCAAGCGUUAAUCGGAAUUACUGGGCGUAAAGCGCGCGUAGGCGGCUUGGUAAGUCGGAUGUGAAAGCCCCGGGCUCAACCUGGGAACUGCAUUCGAUACUGCUGAGCUGGAGUACGAGAGAGGGGGGUGGAAUUCCAGGUGUAGCGGUGAAAUGCGUAGAGAUCUGGAGGAACACCAGUGGCGAAGGCGGCCCCCUGGUUCGAUACUGACGCUGAGGUGCGAAAGCGUGGGGAGCAAACAGG
rnacentral:rRNA from 1 species